AACGAACGCUGGCGGCAGGCCUAACACAUGCAAGUCGAACGCCGUAGCAAUACGGAGUGGCAGACGGGUGAGUAACACGUGGGAACGUACCCUUCGGUUCGGAAUAACUCAGGGAAACUUGAGCUAAUACCGGAUACGUCCGAGAGGAGAAAGAUUUAUCGCCGAGGGAUCGGCCCGCGUCUGAUUAGCUUGUUGGUGAGGUAACGGCUCACCAAGGCGACGAUCAGUAGCUGGUCGAGAGGAUGAUCAGCCACAUUGGGACUGAGACACGGCCCAAACUCCUACGGGAGGCAGCAGUGGGGAAUAUUGGACAAGUGGGCGCAAGCCUGAUCCAGCCAUGCCGCGUGAGUGAUGAAGG
rnacentral:rRNA from 1 species